rnacentral:rRNA from 1 species
UACGUAGGGGGGCUAGCGUUGUCCGGAAUCAUUGGGCGUAAAGCGCGUGUAGGCGGCCCGGUAAGUCCGCUGUGAAAGUCGGGGGCUCAACCCUCGAAUGCCGGUGGAUACUGUCGGGCUAGAGUGCGGAAGAGGCGAGUGGAAUUCCUGGUGUAGCGGUGAAAUGCGCAGAUAUCAGGAGGAACACCAAUUGCGAAGGCAGCUCGCUGGGACGUAACUGACGCUGAGACGCGAAAGCCAGGGGAGCAAACGGG